AAAUGAGAGAGCUGAAAUCUGGUCGCGUGUCGUCUUUGACAACAUACUGUCACUUUACAACAUGACAGUCCAUAUACACAGGGUGGUGAGAGCACACGGGUGUGGCUGAGGUCGUUAAUCUACAGCAGUUAUCUGGGCGAUGAUCAUGCAUGCAGAGUGAGGAUACACUGAUGUGUUUUGAUACACAAAUAAUGUUUCUUUUACGAUUUUGAUGUCCAAUUGGCAAUUUGACCCAUAAUUUUUGUUCCAAAGCAACUGUAUAGACACAAAUUAAAUAAAUAAUUAAAUACAUUAA